UACAGAGGUCUCAAGCGUUGUUCGGAAUCACUGGGCGUAAAGGGUGCGUAGGCGGCGGGGAAAGUCAGAUGUGAAAUCCGGAGGCUCAACCUCCGAAAUGCAUCCGAUACUCCCUCGCUAGAGAUUUGUAGAGGAGUCUGGAAUUCUCGGUGUAGCAGUGAAAUGCGUAGAUAUCGAGAAGAACGCUCGCAGCGAAGGCGAGACUCUGGGCAAAUUCUGACGCUGAUGCACGAAGGCUAGGGGAGCAAACGGG
rnacentral:rRNA from 1 species